CCCUUAGAUGUCCUGGGCCGCACGCGCGUUACACUGAUGCAUUCAACGAGCUUAUAACCUUGGCCGAGAGGCCUGGGCAAUCUUGUUAACGUGCAUCGUGAUAGGGAUAGAUUAUUGAAAUUAUUAAUCUUGAACGAGGAAUUCCUAGUAAACGCAGAUCAUCAAUCUGCAUUGAUUACGUCCCUGCCCUUUGUACACACCGCCCGUCGCUCCUACCGAUUGAGCGAUCCGGUGAAUGUUUUGGACUGGCGUCAGAAGCGGUUCGCUCCUGACACUACGAAAUUUUGUAAACCUUAUCGCUUAGAGGAAGGAAAAGUCGUAACA
rnacentral:rRNA from 1 species